GACUAGGUGGAGUAUACCACAGAACCAAUUUUGGGAUGGUAAUGGACUAGAAAAAUAGUUUUUUAGAUAUGCCGCUGAUAUCUUUUCCAAUUAAUUUUGAAGCAAUUUUUGCCCUGAAUGUGCGGUAAUAAGGACAUAUUAAAUAGGGUUAUCAUGUUAUGGAAAGGAUAUUUCUAUGUAGAGAAAGGGGAUGUGAAUAAAUUUCACGUUUCACUCAAGAUAGAAAUGAUUGUCAAUGGCCACAACAAGGGGAAAUGCCUAUAGCUUAGCUCCAGAUUCGGUGUAUUGGCAUUUCUGUAGUGUGAUUGCAUACCAUCAAAUUCACCCUUACUGGUUAUUAUAGCAAGUGUUCAGCUGUAUUCUGUUGCCAACUACAACAGGUUAGACGUCUUCACACUAGAUAUAGGUACGGCACUAUGGCUAGAGCUCCUUGUGUACCUUCUUAAGUAGAUAUCCAAAUGUGAUUCAUUAUCUGGCCAUUAGAUGUAGCCAAAACUGUUGUCAUGGUAACCCACACAAGCUCUAUAAUUUUUUGCAUCAGGAGCUAAGCCAUUGAGUUCUUCAAUUGCUUAUAGAGUAGCAUUGAUUUGAUGUCCCAUUCAUGCUUAGCUUGUUAUCCCUUAGGAGGAUUUUAUGCUGAUGUAAUUUGGCAUAGUGUACAGGAUCACUUUGAGGUUUUGAUGUGUCAAUGAGAAUAACUUUGUAUGAUAAUGUAUUUCAAAAAACUUUUUAUGUUAAUGAAAACUAUUCUUAGUAGGCAUUUUGGGGCUUUGUAUAUAUUAUGUGAGAUAAACAAAUAUGGCGUAGCUAAAUAAUAUUCCAAAAGCACUAUUGAGAAAACUAAAGAGGUUGCACAUCUUCAUUUUAAAGAAUUAUCAGAUUGAUAUUUGAUUUAUCAUGUUCCUUCGUUGCCUUAAAUUUAGUAAUUUGAGUUACCUAGAAUCAGUUUCCUUAAUUACUUUUGCCUUAGUGCAUUUGUACUUGUAAUUUGUCCUGUUACAAUUUGAAACUAGUACUUUUAUGUGAAUAUAAUUGUUUUAGUUGGUCAAUAGCCGUAGGAUUUAAACCCUUAUCCUAGCCUUCUUGAUGCCAUUGCAACUACACAAUGACAACAUUCGCUUUAGUGAAGCUAACAUAGUAUGUUUUUUACGAUCAUUUAUCUUACUGACUGCUAACUUUAUUCCCUGAAGAUGUAAAAAGCUCCAGGCUUGAAUUUUUUUUUUG
rnacentral:misc_RNA from 1 species